UUGUUAGGUGACUGCGUACCUUUUGUAUAAUGGGUCAGCGACUUAUAUUCAGUGGCGAGCUUAACCGAAUAGGGGAGGCGUAGCGAAAGCGAGUCUUAAUAGGGCGCUUAGUCGCUGGGUAUAGACCCGAAACCGGGCGAUCUAUCCAUGGGCAGGUUGAAGGUUAGGUAACACUGACUGGAGGACCGAACCGACUACCGUUGAAAAGUUAGCGGAUGACCUGUGGAUCGGAGUGAAAGGCUAAUCAAGCUCGGAGAUAGCUGGUUCUCCUCGAAAGCUAUUUAGGUAGCGCCUCAUGUAUCACUGUAGGGGGUAGAGCACUGUUUCGGCUAGGGGGUCAUCCCGACUUACCAAACCGAUGCAAACUCCGAAUACCUACAAGUGCCGAGCAUGGGAGACACACGGCGGGUGCUAACGUCCGUCGUGAAAAGGGAAACAACCCAGACCGUCAGCUAAGGUCCCAAAGUCAUGGUUAAGUGGGAAACGAUGUGGGAAGGCUUAGACAGCUAGGAGGUUGGCUUAGAAGCAGCCACCCUUUAAAGAAAGCGUAAUAGCUCACUAGUCGAGUCGGCCUGCGCGGAAGAUGUAACGGGGCUCAAACCAUGCACCGAAGCUACGGGUGUCACUUAGGUGACGCGGUAGAGGAGCGUUCUGUAAGCCUGUGAAGGUGAGUUGAGAAGCUUGCUGGAGGUAUCAGAAGUGCGAAUGCUGACAUGAGUAACGACAAUGGGAGUGAAAAACUCCCACGCCGAAAGACCAAGGUUUCCUGCGCAACGUUAAUCGACGCAGGGUUAGUCGGUCCCUAAGGCGAGGCUGAAAAGCGUAGUCGAUGGAAAACAGGUUAAUAUUCCUGUACUUCUGGUUAUUGCGAUGGAGGGACGGAGAAGGCUAGGCCAGCUUGGCGUUGGUUGUCCAAGUUUAAGGUGGUAGGCUGAGAUCUUAGGUAAAUCCGGGAUCU
rnacentral:rRNA from 1 species